rnacentral:antisense_RNA from 1 species
CUUCAGCGAGCCCAGCCAGAGCGGGUGGCCGUCCGCACGGUCCCGGCCGUAGGUGGCCAGGAGGGCCUGCGCCUC